rnacentral:rRNA from 1 species
AGAGUUUGAUCCUGGCUCAGGAUGAACGCUGGCGGCGUGCCUAACACAUGCAAGUCGAGCGAGAAUUAACGGAAUGGAGACUUCGGUCAAAGUGAAAUUAAGGAAAGCGGCGGACGGGUGAGUAACGCGUGGGUAACCUGCCUCAUACAAAGGGAUAGCCACUGGAAACGGUGAUUAAUACCCUAUAAGACCACAGGAUCGCAUGAUCUAGUGGCCAAAGAUUUAUCGGUAUGAGAUGGACCCGCGUCUGAUUAGCUAGUUGGUGAGGUAAUGGCUCACCAAGGCGACGAUCAGUAGCCGACCUGAGAGGGUGAUCGGCCACACUGGAACUGAGACACGGUCCAGACUCCUACGGGAGGCAGCAGUGGGGAAUAUUGCACAAUGGGCGCAAGCCUGAUGCAGCAACGCCGUGUGAGUGAUGAAGGUCUUCGGAUUGUAAAACUCUGUCCUAGGGGAAGAAAAAAAUGACGGUACCCUAGGAGGAAGCCCCGGCUAACUACGUGCCAGCAGCCGCGGUAAUAC